ensembl:lncRNA
GUUGUUUUUUUUUUCCAUGGGUCUAGCCUUAUGCUUUCAGUUUGAAAGUAAGCUGAGAUUUAUUUUUCAUAGGCUACAAAACAAAUUCAAGACCAGAAGACAAAAAGGCAGCUGAGGUAGUAAUUCUCCUGAAGAAUUAAGAAACCAAUGUCUUUGAGGGCACCCUUGAUUGUCAACAUCCACAAAGGGGAUGGAGAUACCAAAAAAACCAAAAGUUCAGCGUGUGAUUUUGCCCCGGAUGGAACAGCUGUUAUAGGACAUGCUGCAUAGCUCAAAUGGUAAUAAUGCCUGUAUUUGCAAAAUUUACCUAAUCCUGAAAUACUGAUAUGAAAGAUUCCAUUAGACAGAAACUUAGUGCAUAAAAUUGAUCAGUGUGUUUCUACUCUGAUUAUUACACCUAAACAAAUAUUUAUACUAAAGCAUGUGUUAUGUCAGAACAUGUCUGAGGAAUUUAUUUUCUAAUCUUCUGGAGAAGCCAUCUUCAUCACAUAGAGUGGUGGAUUUUGUAUUCUGUUACAUGCUGGGAGACUUCAGGGAAUUGUAAAAUUGAUUUUCCGUGAUCCUAAUGAAUGAGUGGACCUGUUUCACCAUGUCUCAUUAAAGCUGUACCUACUAUGUGUUUCCAGUGACAGCAGUCCUUUAUCUUAAGCAUAAAUUAUAUAAAUAAGGUUGAUUUUAGGCAUUUGUAUUUGGAUAGCAGACUAUUAACAGGAAUUAACUUGAAUAAAAGACUAUAACCUGCAGGACUCCUGGAAUGUUAAAUUGUCACUAACUACUGAGGCAGAAAUAGGAGAUGUAAAGCUAAAUAUCAAGAAAUGCUUCUCCCAAAUAGGAGUUACUAUAUGGUGUGAGAUGGUUGAAGCCCUUUUACUUGCAAAGUCGAACAAUUGGACAGAUAAUUUCUGUUAUGGCACCUUUCAAAAUUCUUCAAUAUGUUUUCAGAACUUGAAUUUUAUGGUAUAUUAAAAGCCUAUGUUAUUAACAAUGUCCACUAAAAUACACACACAAAAAAAAUCCUAUGUGAAGAUGAUAAAGUGAGAAGAGCAAUAUAUUGGAGCCUUUGCAAAAAUGUGAAUGACAACUUUGCAUAUAUCCCAUUUUAAAGGUGCACUUGAACAUCAGCUAGAGUUCUAAUGUGCUUUCCUUCAGUGAAUAAAAUUGUGUCAUAGGAGAGUAGUUUAAAUAUGUCACUGUGAAGCAUAUUUAGCUCUUUACAUCUUUUGUUACAGUCUGCAUUUCGGAGCUUCUAGUCUCUUUAAUUCUAAUAUAAAAGUUGAAUCACCCCUAAUAUAAAAGUUUUUUCCCCCCUUAACACCUUGCUUAAGGUUUUGUGAUUAAUAUUUCUGUCUUUCCAUUAAAAAAACACCUUUUCAGAAAAUAUUCUUCAAGCACCAUUCUUCAGGAAAUAUGCUGUGAUGAGCGAUGGGGCUAGGAUUAAGUUUGUAUUCUCCACUUGUAGAGAAACUAGUUUAAUGAGAUUAUAUUAUUUCAUGAUAAACUGGACAAGUAUCAUAGUUGCACAAGACAAAGAUUAGGCAAUAAGAGUAGAAAUACUGUGGUUUCUCCCUCUUCAUCCUGUUUCUAAAAUAAGUAGGUCAUUAUCUUAAUUAUAAGAUCUAAACAGCAAUUUCCUUAUGAAAU